GACGAACGCUGGCGGCGUGCCUAAUACAUGCAAGUAGAACGCUGAAGGAGGAGCUUGCUUCUCUGGAUGAGUUGCGAACGGGUGAGUAACGCGUAGGUAACCUGCCUGGUAGCGGGGGAUAACUAUUGGAAACGAUAGCUAAUACCGCAUAAUAGCAGUUGUUGCAUGACAACUGUUCGAAAGGUGCAAUUGCACCACUACCAGAUGGACCUGCGUUGUAUUAGCUAGUUGGUGGGGUAACGGCUCACCAAGGCGACGAUACAUAGCCGACCUGAGAGGGUGAUCGGCCACACUGGGACUGAGACACGGCCCAGACUCCUACGGGAGGCAGCAGUAGGGAAUCUUCGGCAAUGGACGGAAGUCUGACCGAGCAACGCCGCGGGAGUGAAGAAGGUUUUCGGAUCGUAAAGCUCUGUUGUAAGAGAAGAACGAGUGUGAGAGUGGAAAGUUCACACUGUGACGGUAUCUUACCAGAAAGGGACGGCUAACUACGUG
rnacentral:rRNA from 1 species